UGGGGAAUUUUGGACAAUGGGGGCAACCCUGAUCCAGCGACGCCGCGUGAAGGACGAAGGUCUUCGGAUUGUAAACUUCUUUUGACGGGGAUGAAUGGCCUGGUGAAUAGCCAGGAGUGACAGUACUCGUUGAAUAAGCCACGGCUAACUACGUGCCAGCAGCCGCGGUAAUACGUAGGUGGCAAGCGAUACUCGGAAUCACUAGGCGUAAAGCGCAGGUAGGCGGUUCGGUAAGUCUUUUGUGAAAGCUCCCGGCUCAACUGGGAGAGGUCAAGGGAAACUGCUGGACUAGAGUAUGGUAGGGGAGACUGGAAUUCCUGGUGUAGCGGUGAAAUGCGUAGAUAUCAGGAGGAAUACCUAUGGCGAAAGCAGGUCUCUGGGCCAUUACUAACGCUGAGCUGCGAAAGCUAGGGGAGCAAACAGGAUUAGAUACCCGUGUAGUCC
rnacentral:rRNA from 1 species